UCAGGGAUAUUGGAAUUUUUCGUCACCUUUUCAAAUUACGGAAAAGGGGUGGGCCCUACAAAAAGUCGAUGGCUUGGCACGGGCUGGUGUUUGGGGGAUUACCGGGAAGAAGGGUUGAUUGGUUCAGCUGAGAGCUUUUUCUGGUAACCAUUUGAUAUGCUUACAGCCAACUCUUUUGGGUUCGUUUGGCUGUCAGCUGGUGCCCAGCCAAAAACUGGCAAUUCAGGCAUUAAAUUUCACUUUUGGCCGACGCAUCGUCGCGUCAAAUGUCCGUCCAGCUACACUCUGUUUUUGCAUGAGAAAUUUGACUUGUCCGCAAAGACAAGAAAACAGGUAAACAGACGGAUGGGACGGCGCCUUCCUGGUCCUAAACCGCAAGUGAAAUCUUAAUAGAUGACGGUUUAAGGGCAGACGUCAGAUGGAUUACGGUUAAUUUAAGGACGGACAUUGGCUGUUCUGCCUUCCACUCUUCCCAUCCGUUCCAUUUCAAACGAAGCAGAGACAGAAGCAAAUACGAAAAGGUAGAUUUUUAACCAGUGGGAAGGGAAAUAGAAGAAAAACAACGGUACAGCAGUAACAGCACCCACGCCACACGAACACUCACGCACUUUCUGUAUUUGUGUGUUCAUAUGUUUGUGUGUGUGUGUGUGUGUGGUUGGAGGCCCCCUCAUUUUUUGAGCGUUUUUAGAGGCUAUAGAAACUAUGAAAAUCAACAAAUUAAGCAAUUUUGUGUGCUUGCAGAGCGCUCUUUUUGGUUUCUACGGCUGCGCAACAAAUUGAAAUCAACAAAUAUGACCCAGAAAACAGAAAAACAUCGCUGAAGGUGAAAUCAAGCAGAGGAAGAGAGCCUGCAAAAACAAGAAACUCAGACAAAAGGCAAUACUUGUUAAUUGUUUUCGAAAAGAAACAACUUGUUUUCAAAAUUAUCCAAAAGUUAUUGAAACCAAACAGCAGCAAGGAGCUUUAUAAAGUAUUUCUUUAUAUUUUGGCUGACGCAAUUUCAAGCCCGCACACACCAUACCAAGCUUUUGCUUAUGUGUGCGAGUGAAAAUGUAUGCAUCUGCAUUGGUAUGGGUAGUCUGUGUUGGGAGAGGAACGUUGGCGGUGGAACACUCCAAUGAUUGUGGAGAGAGAAAGAGUGUAUAAAACAAAUGGGAAGAUGAAAAUGUAGAAUAAAGAGGGGGAGAAAAGAGGAGCAAACAAUUGACGUAAAAUGAAAAGAAUAAAUAAAUACAUUUUCGUAUGCAAAUAUAGAGGAAUAGGCAUCAUCUUCACAGUUCUCGCACGGGCAAGUACAACUGUACUUGGGAGUGAGUCUAAAUGUAUUAGUUUGAUUAAAACAAGUUGCCAAACAAAGACCGCCCUCCUCCAAUGGCUGUACAGCUUGCAUAAAAAGCAUAGCCCCACUCACAUACACACGCACACACUCCAGCCCCUGAGCCCACCCUCUUCUCUAAACAACCUAUGAAUAGCAAGCAGAGAGACCUCAAAACUGACUCUCUCGCACUCACACACAAUGCCAGCCAAACAGCUGUGAAACGGAAUGAGAGUGGAACAAACACGUAAAUUAUUUCUUCAUAUGUACGCGUAAAAGUACUCGUAUGUAUGUUAAAUUCUGUAUGUAUGCCUCAAUUGUAUAUUAUUUUAUUUCUUUUGGCAAACAAAACAUCAUCCGAGACUGAAAAACAGUUUGCCAAACCAGAUUGAUAGAUAAAGUGUGUGGAAGACCUUGAUUUUCUUUUGCAAUAAGACUUAAAAUAAAAUUGUUUGAAUUAUUUGUUGCUUACAUUUUUACAGCCAUUUUGUUGUUUUCUGUUGCGCAGGAAUGUUGAGAUGAAUUAUUUUAUUUGAAAAUGGUUUUUAUUGCACUUUGAAAAUAUUCUUGUGAAGAAGUUGUAGCCUGGCAGCUUGACUGAUUGAUUUGUUCUUGUUAAAAAAGUUUCGCUAUAAAACUCGUUUUUUCGGCCAUUUACGCUAGGUUUAAUUAAUUUGUACUGCAAUUUCUAUCACAAUUGAAAGUGUUUCUUGAUUUCCGUAGUUGUCCUGGGGCUUAGGCCAACAUUUUCUCCUUCUUUUGAUUGUUUUUCGGAUCGAUUUUUCCCACACACCAGAUAAAAAGUGGUUGGGAUUUUUCUCACAUCAGCUGCUCUUCAUAUUUCUGCAGGUUGGGGGUUGCAUAUGUGUCUGAAGGCUCUUUUAGCUAAGCUUUGCACAUUUGCAAGAAAACAUACGUUGCUUUUGCAAUGAACUGGCUUUCAGCUGCAUAAAAUUAUACAAAAAUUUCUAUUUCUAUGCAAACACACACAUAAAA